GAUCUGAUGGUGGAGUGGUUACCGCACCUGCUCUCAUUGUGCACGUUCGAUUCUUCAGCAGGAGGUCCCCGUUCGAUUCGGGGUUGGGUCA